rnacentral:tRNA from 1 species
GGGGAUAUAGCUCAGUUGUAGAACAUAUGCUUAUUAUGCACAAGGUCCUAGGUUCAAUCCCUAGUACCUCCA